UACGUAGGGUGCAAGCGUUGUCCGGAAUUAUUGGGCGUAAAGAGCUUGUAGGCGGUUUGUCGCGUCUGCUGUGAAAUUUCGGGGCUCAACCCCGAACUUGCAGUGGGUACGGGCAGACUAGAGUGUGGUAGGGGAGACUGGAAUUCCUGGUGUAGCGGUGAAAUGCGCAGAUAUCAGGAGGAACACCGAUGGCGAAGGCAGGUCUCUGGGCAACUACUGACGCUGAGAAGCGAAAGCAUGGGAGCGAACAGG
rnacentral:rRNA from 1 species